rnacentral:misc_RNA from 1 species
ACAAAUCAGCAUAGGACCGCAAGGUCCUAUAUACACCCCAAGCUUGGGAAGGGCGUUAGCCUGGAUCGGCUUUGGUUGCAGCCUUCGGGCUGUAGGUUCGACUGUCGCAAGACAGUCAGCCACAUAGACGCUUGUAUGUUUGACAGAGUUUAGUUGCCUUUAAAAGAUA